rnacentral:snoRNA from 1 species
AUAUGACAAAUGAUGAUAAAAUGAUAUUUUCUUGACGUGCCUGCUGCCAAGCAUGUAGACAUACGUCUGAAGUAAGCUUCCUGAAAAAUCU